AUACUUACCUGGCAAGGGAGACACCGUGAUCACCAAGGCGGUUCACCCAGGGCGGUUCACCCAGGGCGAGGCUCGGCCAUUGCACUCCGGCUGUGCUGACCCCUGCGAAUUUCCCAAAUGUGGAAAUCUCGAUUGCAUAAUUUCUGGUAGUGGGGGACUGCGUUCGCGCUCUCCCCUG
rnacentral:snRNA from 1 species